GUACUCACCUGGCAGGGGAGAUGCCGUGAUCACGAAAGUGGUCUUCCUGGGGUGAGGCUUAUCCACUGCACUCCAGACGUGCUGACCCCUGCAAUUUCCCCAAAAGUGGGAAACUCGGCUGCGUCAUCUGUGGUCAUGGGGGCUGUGUUCAUGCUUUCCCCUG
ensembl:snRNA RNU1-47P RNA, U1 small nuclear 47, pseudogene